rnacentral:rRNA from 1 species
AUGGCGGCUAGUUCAAGCUCGCAGGGGAGUCAGGGUAAGGAGACGACGGAUGAGUUACUUGCCCGGUUGAAUUUGCAGGAGGAGGAAGACGAUGACUUUGUGUGGGAGGAGGAAUUACCGGACCUGGGAGUGCCGGCGAAGUGGCUUGCCAUAGCCAGGGUGCAUACAUCAAGGACUUUCAGCCCUAAUGCUCUAUAUGGGGACAUGCGUGCAGCGUGGAAUCCUGCGAGAACGGUGGUCUAGAGGAAGAUUAAGGACAAUUUGUUCACAGCUCAG